AAGACCUGUAGGACCUUAACCCACAUCCACUGGAUGCAACCCAGUCACUUUAAUUAGGCUAAAGCCUCA
rnacentral:tRNA from 1 species